rnacentral:rRNA from 1 species
AUGAAGUACCUUAGAACUGGACAUGCUAAUGAUGAUUCAAAAGUGGAGUUUUUGCAACAAAUAAUGAUUUUAAGGAGUGUUAAUCAUGAAAAUGUCAUUCGCUUUUAUGGGGCAUGCACAAAGCAUCGAUGGUAUCUCAUUGUAACAGAGUACAUGGCUGGAGGUAAUCUGUAUGACUUCCUUCACAAGCAAAAAAAUACCUUGGAGCUUUCGUUGAUUCUUAGGAUUGCUAUUGGCAUCUCGAAAGGGAUGGAUUAUUUGCACCAGAAUAACAUCAUCCAUAGAGAUUUGAAGUCUGCCAAUUUAUUACUUGGUGAUGCUCAAGUCGUGAAGAUUGCAGAUUUUGGUGUCUCGCAAGAGGGAGAUAUGACUUCCGAAAAUGGCACCUAUAGAUGGAUAGCACCUGAGGUGAUAAACCAUAAGUCUUAUGACCACAAGGCAGAUGUCUUCAGCUUUGCUAUUGUUCUAUGGGAGUUGGUCACUUCAAAGGUCCCAUACGAAAACCUGACACCAUUGCAAGCGGCACUGUCAGUAAGGCAGGGAAUUCGCUUGGUGAUUCCCUCGAGCGUGCAUCCGAGAUUGUCUAAGUUGAUUCAACGGUGUUGGGGUGAGAACCCCCAUACACGACCCGUUUUCUAUGAGAUCACCGCAGAACUGCAAGAUAUCUUGCAGACUUUUCAGCCGCCUCCAGGUCCAAAGGAAGCCAUCGUUGUACGAAACAAAAGAUACAGAUGA